rnacentral:rRNA from 1 species
GACGAACGCUGGCGGCGUGCCUAAUACAUGCAAGUAGGACGCAGUUGCGAACGUGUGAGUAACGCGUAGGUAACUACCUAUUAGAGGGGGAUAACUAUGGGAAACGAUAGCUAAUACCGCAUACUAGUAGAUGGACCUGCGUUGUAUUUGCCAGUAGGUAGGGUAAUGGCCUACCUAGGCAACGAUACAUAGUCGACCUGCAAGGGUGAUCGGCCAAACGGGGACUGGGAAACAGCCCAGACUCCUACGGGAGGCAGCAGUAGGGAAUCUGCGGCAAUGGGGGGAACCCUGAACGAGCAACGCCGCGUGAGUGAAGAAGGUUUUCGGGGCGUAAAGCUCUGUUGUUAAGGAAGCGUUACUUAACCAAAAAGGGACGGCUAACUACGUGCCAGCCGCCGCGGUAAUAC